CACACAGGCUCCAUCAAGCCCACAACUUCGUCAGAAAUGACCGUCUGCAUUGCCGGAUGAGGAAAGAGAGAAGAGCGCUGAAGUUACCUGUCCACCUAGACAUUAAGGGGCUGCUCUUAGGCCAUACUAGCUCCUCGGAUUGCAUCCACUCUGUGCAAGGGACCAGACCAAGUGCUAAGUGUGACUUAUCCCCAUGGUUCAAAAUCAAACAUUUGACAACUAACUCAACUGAGGAUGUUUGACCCAGCCUCCUUUUCAAAUAAUUAAAGGUCAGAGCUACAUGAGCGCCGCUGGCGCCACCUAGGGGGCUGCCGGCACACUGCACUGAUGGGAACGCAAGGCGCAUCCUCCCUGACUCCUGCCACCUGCCUGGUGCCCAGGAGCUAGAUCAGCCUGAGAUAUUUUGAAAGAAGAGCCUAUAGAGACCUGAGUCACAAAGCCUGAAUUCUAGUUUUGACAUCGGCACGAACUCAUGAGGGACGUUGGACAAGUUCUUCCCCUUCUCAAGUCUUCUGAGUGCCUGGUAAAAUGGGAGGUUGGAUGACAAAGAUCUGUGUUACUCGUUCAACAGGUAGCCACUGAACAACUACAGGCACUGUUGGAGGGUCUGGGAGAGGGUCCUGCUCUCGGGAAGCUUACGUCAUAUGAGGGGUGAUCUAGACAAUAACAAGAAAACAAGUCGCAUAAAAGGAUAAAUAAUACAGUAGUAAGUGCUAGGAUGCAAAUAAAACAAGAUUGUGAGAGAAAGUGCUGGGGGGUCCACCUCAGACUGGGUGGUUAGGGAAAGCUGUCUGAGGAAGGGGCUUGGAGCUAAGA